rnacentral:rRNA from 1 species
GACGAACGCUGGCGGCGUGCCUAAUACAUGCAAGUUGAGCGCUGAAGGUUGGUACUUGUACCAACUGGAUGAGCAGCGAACGGGUGAGUAACGCGUGGGGAAUCUGCCUUUGAGCGGGGGACAACAUUUGGAAACGAAUGCUAAUACCGCAUAAAAACUUUAAACACAAGUUUUAAGUUUGAAAGAUGCAAUUGCAUCACUCAAAGAUGAUCCCGCGUUGUAUUAGCUAGUUGGUGAGGUAAAGGCUCACCAAGGCGAUGAUACAUAGCCGACCUGAGAGGGUGAUCGGCCACAUUGGGACUGAGACACGGCCCAAACUCCUACGGGAGGCAGCAGGAGGGAAUCUUCGGCCAUGGACGAAAGUCUGACCGAGCAACGCCGCGGGAGUGAAGAAGGUUUUCGGGUCGUAAAACUCUGUUGGUAGAGAAGAACGUUGGUGAGAGUGGAAAGCUCAUCAAGUGACGGUAACUACCCAGAAAGGGACGGCUAACUACGUG